rnacentral:tmRNA from 1 species
GGGGAUGUAAGGAUCGACGAAAAAUUGUUCUUUGACAACAGCAAACCGACUUUUACCAAUAGUCGAAAAACAGGGUAAAAAAACAACUGUCAGUAAAAUAUCUGGCAUGGUAGCGAAUGUAAAGAGCUUUUUAGCAUCUUUACUUCCUACUCCAAAUUACGCCAAGCUUCCAGCUUACGCGUAAAAUGGCAUCUAGGCAUAAUCUUCCCUAAGGGAUUAGCUUAGGUGACAACCUACUUAGGGCGGCAUUCUGACUUUAGCCGAAGUCGGAAGGAGAAUUUAGGCUAAACCAAAGUGAAAAAAGAGUUGUCUUUUUCUCUCACUUUGCCAUAAAAAGACUAAGUUUGUAAACUGUUUAAAAGAUCUUUUUCGGACGGGAGUUCAUUGCUCCCCAUCUCCACCG